AAUUAAUAUUAAGGUGUGGCCACAGCAUGGCGGAGCAAUCAGAAACUUAAGAUUUGAUGUUAAGUUGAAGCAUGGGGCGAAAGUAACUUGUGCCCCUUCCCCAUACUGCCUGCAUAUGUAGCUCACGCCCAUGGCCUCACCGUCUAGGGCUUGGAUUUGGAGGAGGAAGAGAAUACCCCGGUGAACAUCGAGUAUGCUGGCAGUGGCUCGAGUGAUGUGGGACGAUAUUGAGCACCGGUGAGCGCAGGGUGCAGUGCAGCAGUUUAGAAAAACGGCGGGGGCGGACUCCAAACUUGCAAAGAAGGUCACCAAUGGUGGUCGUUGGUCUGCUACUUAAAGGUGCCCUUGCUGGGUUCUUUUCAU